UACGAAGGGGGCUAGCGUUGCUCGGAAUCACUGGGCGUAAAGGGUGCGUAGGCGGAUCUUUAAGUCAGGGGUGAAAUCCUGGAGCUCAACUCCAGAACUGCCUUUGAUACUGGGAAGCUUGAGUCCGGAAGAGGUGAGUGGAACUCCGAGUGUAGAGGUGAAAUUCGUAGAUAUUCGGAAGAACACCAGUGGCGAAGGCGGCUCACUGGUCCGGUACUGACGCUGAGGUGCGAAAGUGUGGGGAGCGAACAGG
rnacentral:rRNA from 1 species